CUUCUGUCCUCCAAGACUGUGUGGGAAAGAACUCUUCCUUCCACCCUGUAUGAACCUCCAGCAUCCAGGACUGUGCGGUGAAGACCCCUCCUCCAAGGAGAGCAUGUCAGGAACAAGCUCUUAAAAGAGCUAAGUGAUUCAAGCUCAGAGGAGCAUGCAGAGCAUAGCAAUCCCCAGUGUGAUUAUAACAGCUCCCUCCAAUAACGAGACAAGGCUACGUUUAGAGGGAUCAAGAAG